GUCAACAUAAACUGGAGGCUUGGCGAAGCUGAAUGGACUGAUACAUAUUUACCUGAUUAUGACAAUGUAGCUGCUGUGUUGGAAUAAGGCCAGGACUCUCUGAGACAAAAUCAAUUCUUAAGCAAUCCUGUCUUGGAACCAUCAUGGAUAGUGUGAAGAUUGUCUUCCUUUUACACUGAAAUCACUGGGGUCCAGUCAGCCAUGCAUUCACCCUCUCUGGUGCCCCACGAAUGACCUCAAGCCUCACUUCAAGAGGAC